GCACUGCUGAAGAGUCUAAAACAGGAUGAAACAGCUGUCCAGUGC
rnacentral:hammerhead_ribozyme from 1 species